ensembl:lncRNA
UUAUACCCUAAUAAGCAGAUGAAGAAACAGUUUUAGAGCAGUUAAAUGACUUGUCGCAUUGAAGAGGUAGAGAUGGGAUUUGCACACAGCUGGAUAGCUCCCAGCUUAGAGGUCUUUCCAUUUCACUUAAGUCAGUGAGGUUUUAUUGUCGGAGAGAGAAAGGCUGGAAUAGGGAGAUUGCGAGGUUUGGAAAAACCAAUAAUCAAGUAAGCAGAGGCCAGAUAAAUUAUCUUGGAAAGUAUCUUAAUCUUAUAGGUGCAUUUUUAUUAGUUGAAAGAAGAAUAAUAGAAUGUUUACGUUUUUAAGGAAAUAAUUUUUCUUUUUUAGUUCAUCACCCAAGCUCAACCACUAAUAAACAGCUGAGCUUGGGGACAAAGGAAUAUGGGCAGGUCAAUGUGACAUGGCCAGGAAUUGUGCUUCCCAGUGUGGGCCAGCAGUUUGUUCUCAGUCUGGACUUAAACCUCCGAGGGGAUUGAGAGGGGUCUAUACACCCACAUGCACUGGUGAGUAUUGCUAUCACUUUUGCUCUUCUGGACUUAAUGCUCGAAGAACUUUUCCUUCAUGGAUACUGAGGACUCUUUGGGAAACUGUCAGUACCCGGUGCAUUUCUGUCUGCUCUCACCUCCUCUUCCAGGACUCAUCUCAUGAGCAAGGUAACUGCAAAUGGCACAGAAGACAUUUCUCUCUGACAAGAAGAAAGAUGAAGUUUUCUUGUACGACUUCUCUGAAGAUUUAUAGUCUCAAAAGCUAUGAUUAACUUAGAUUGCAAGACAUCACACUACUUAUGUUCCUCUGUGUGAAGGCUACUAUUGCCAAGCAAUGGGUUCUGUUUGAUCUCUCUCGAGGGCGAAAGGCUUCUCAUGAAAACAAACAAGAUGCACACUGAAGAGAAAUAGAGCAGUGUGAUCUGACAGAGUUGUGGUGACAGCCAAACAAAGAAGAAGACAUCAGCUCGGUCUUGAGUUCUAGCCUUACUUUUCGCCCUUUAGUUCACACGUUUCUCCCCUGAUAGACACUAAGCUCCCUGAGGGGAGCAGGGCCCUGUGCUUGUUUGUUUCCCCAGCACCCAGCAUGGUGGCUUGCAGAGAGUAGUGGUUCCCAAAAGUCUGGAAAUGGACCUUUGAUGAUAGAAUCCUGGUGGUGAAAAUCAUAAUGCACUUAUCCAAUACCACGUAGGUUCCAGGUGGCAAGACCUGAGACCAAUGCCCAGGUGUUUAGUCUCUAAGCCCUGUGACCUGCCCACCAUACACAGCUGCCUCCUUGAUUUAUGGGAGAAAGUAAUCUAGGGGUUAUCUGACACUCCAUCUAGGCUACUUUAGGGGAUGACCGUAUAGAGUGGAUAGAGCUGCUAGAUUUUCAUUUACUAAACCUGGCAACCUUAAGAGUGGUGCACAUAUGUGUGCAAUUUUUUGAUCCUAUGAUGUGCACAUCAUGUCAUGGAGGAGGUCCUCUGUUCUUCUUAUUUGUCAGACUGAUCUGUGCCUGCAUCUUGUGGUCUUGGUUAAAUAUGCUGGGGUUCAGGUUUCGAGCAGUAGGGGGAGGACCUGAGUCAUUGUGCAGCUGAGGAGCACUGAUACAGAUAGUCGGACUGAUAACAGCAGGGAUUGGCUUCCCCUACAGAGCAAGAGUAAUACAGAUUGAAUGGUGGCAUCCAGUUGCCUCAACCUUCAAGGAACUAACUUAAGGUGCUUUUCCGUUUAUUCCUGCCUUUGUCUUCUUUUGAUUGUUUACCUGCUGAUUUCUGUUUAGGAUUCUAGAAAUAUUCUCUAAGCCUGGUCAUUGGUUACAUCAUUCAAAGAUGUCAGAUCUGCUCACUUUCCCUGACUGUGCUUGUAU